CGCGCCUGUUAUAGGGCGGAUUCCUGUUGGCGUCCACGUCAACCGGGGAGGCGGAAGAGCCGCCUACUAGCCCCGCCUGAGCCCACGGUGGGAAGGUGCGCAGCUGGCAGGUGUGAAAGCGGGAGAGCCCAGGAGUUUUAGACUGCAAACUCUGGAUCUGUGUUAAAUCUGCUGUACCUCCAGGGCUUGAUAACAGUGGAAUUUAGAGUGAUUCAACUCUACCCUCUGGAAUGAGCUUCCCCCAGGACUUCGACAACUUCCUGACCUCCGGACCUUUCGCCGUGAGCUGAAGACAUAUCUAUUCUUCCGAGCAGGACUGGCUUAAAUAGGGUUUUUAAAUAUGGAUUUUAUUGGGGUUUAUUUUAUAUUUUGUAUUGUAUUUUAAAUUUAGGCUAUAUUGAAUAAGUUUUUUAAAUAGUGUUUUUAUUGUAAUAUAUUGUAUUAUUUUAUCUGCCUGUUCACCGCCCUGAGUCCUUCGGGAGAAGGGCAGUAUAAAAAUUAAAUUAUUAUUAUUAUUAUUAUUAUUAUUAUUAUUAUUAUUAUUAUUAUUAUUAUUAUUAUUAUUAUUAUUAUUAUUAUUAUUGGCAGUCU